UACAGAGGGUGCGAGCGUUAAUCGGAAUUACUGGGCGUAAAGCGCGCGUAGGCGGCUUUGCAAGUCGGGUGUGAAAUCCCCAGGCUUAACCUGGGAACUGCGUUCGAGACUGCAUUGCUAGAGUAUGGGAGAGGGAAGUGGAAUUUCCGGUGUAGCGGUGAAAUGCGUAGAUAUCGGAAGGAACAUCAGUGGCGAAAGCGACUUCCUGGACCAAUACUGACGCUCAUGUGCGAAAGCGUGGGGAGCAAACAGG
rnacentral:rRNA from 1 species